rnacentral:rRNA from 1 species
CCUACGGGAGGCAGCAGUGAGGAAUAUUGGUCAAUGGGCGCAAGCCUGAACCAGCCAAGUAGCGUGAAGGAUGACUGCCCUACGGGUUGUAAACUUCUUUUGUAAAGGAGUAAAGUGAGGCACGUGUUCCUCUUUGUAUGUACUUUAUGAAUAAGGAUCGGCUAACUCCGUGCCAGCAGCCGCGGUAAUACGGAGGAUCCGAGCGUUACCCGGAUUUAUUGGGUUUAAAGGGAGCGUAGAUGGGUUGUUAAGUCAGUUGUGAAAGUUUGCGGCUCAACCGGAAAAUUGCAAUUGAUACUGGCAGCCUUGAGUGCAGUUGAGGUAGGCGGAAUUCGUGGUGUAGCGGUGAAAUGCUUAGAUAUCACGAAGAACACCGAUGGCGAAGGCAGCUAACUAAACUGCCACUGACAUUGAGGCUCGAAAGUGUGGGUAUCAAACAGGAUUAGAUACCCCAGUAGUC